CAUAUUACAAAUCCCACUACGGCCCCGCCCUUCAAAAGCAUUUAUGGGCCAGUUGUCUAUGCUUACGCAAGGUAACAUAAUCCCAUUUGUACAGGUCCUAUCCCCUAACCAAUCGGCUAUCCUAAAGCUUAACCCCAACCAAUCGAGCUACUUCGUGGGGAGGGUCUUGCCGGGGCCAUAGUGGGAUUCAUAAAUUGGCGUCCUGGACGUCAGGGGC